AACGCACCUUGCACCUUUUGGUAUUCCGAAAGGUACAUCUGUUUGAGUGUCCAGAAAAAAAAACGACCAUGCUGACCUUCGCUGAAGUGUUGGUGUGUGUUGGAUGCUGAGUGCUGCUGUCUGCAACGGACAGCUCACUUUAAAUGUAUGAGCAAUCUUGACCUGUUCGGAUCGACUUGACAUGAUAACAUCUUUGUCGAGGAUGCUUCUCAGCAGCCGGAUGGUGUAAAAAGUAGCUUCUAAACCUGCACACAUCUGUGGUGCCUCAUUCGUUUGACCUCAGAUCAGAUGGGACUACCCGCUGAACUUAA
rnacentral:misc_RNA from 1 species